AUCUAUCCUUCUAAUACGUUUGGUAACUUGUUCUGCUGUUGCCACGACGACUCCUGUGCCAAUCAGGAAUAGUGGACAACUAGCCAAUUGUGCCCGGCCUUCGUGACAUCACCCUCCUGAGCUGUCUAUUUCAUCUGCACUCUGCUUUCAGACACUUCUUUGAGAUAAAGGAUUCUUCCUUGUCUCUGUUCUGAUUCUCCUCAGGAAUGCAGCUAUGUGAACGAGGUCUCAAAGACUAAGCUGACAAGUCAAGCGCUGUAAGUUGGCAGUGCAUAGGAGUAGUUGUGACUAGAGAUGAGCGAAUCCUGAAAUAUUUUGGCCAUCAGGUUUGAUUUGGAUUCUACAGCCAAAAAAGAUUAAAACAGGAACAGGGACUCCAGUAAGAAAGGAUGAGGAACAAAACAGAGGUCUUGUUGAGUGCCGCUGUAGAAUUAUCAAGAAGAAUAAGCCAUCACAGAUGCACUAGACUCGAUUUAUUAAAGAAGAAUGGAC